rnacentral:rRNA from 1 species
GUGUCAGCCGCCGCGGUAAUACGAAGGAUCCAAGCGUUGUCCGGAUUUACUGGGUUUAAAGGGUGCGUAGGCGGGCUAUUAAGUCAGUGGUGAAAGCUUGCAGCUUAACUGUAAAAUUGCCAUUGAAACUGAUAGCCUCGAAUAUGGUUGAGGUGGUUGGAAUGUAUCAUGUAGCGGUGAAAUGCUUAGAUAUGAUACAGAACACCGAUUGCGAAGGCAGAUCACUAAACCAUUAUUGACGCUGAGGCACGAAAGCGUGGGGAUCAAACAGGAUUAGAAACCCCCGUAGUCC